rnacentral:pre_miRNA from 1 species
AAGAGGCAAAAGAGUCAGUUGGUUCCUGGAGUUCCUCCGAGCACUUCAUUGGGGUCAUUCAGAGAAAAGUCGUCACCCUACUGAAGUGUUUGGGGGAACUCUGGUUGCCACCUGACAUUACAGUUGUAUCC